GCCAAAAUGAUUCCAGUGAGACUAAAGUGAUUUAAAAACUCGCUUUUUGUAAGUUUCACAUAAAGAGUCUCAGAACGGGCAUUUUAUUGAACUUUUAAGAAACUUGCUGUUUGUGUCUGUCUCCACACGUUUAUGUCUGAGCUGGUUCGAUUUCUGUUUGUUUAAGGGAGUGUGUGUUUAGGGUGUGUGUGUGUGUGUGUGUGUGUGUGUGUGUGUUCGCCCGUGUGUUAUGUGUACACAGCGGGCUUUCCGUACGUCUGCUUGUGUCUAAUACCGUGAUUCAUCUCGUGUGUAUUUGGGUUUCCCACCUGAACUGUGUCGUAUUACGGUCUUUUGUCAGUCGCCUAUUACAUGCGUCUAAAAAUAGGCAGUGAUUGUAUAUGUGGCCACCGAUGGCCCCCACCCAGUCGACAUCAACCAUCUAAUAAGUUCAAAUGAUUUAUGGCUGGCUUUUUAGUCAGGCAGGUGUUUGACGUCAAAACGGACGCCAGUAUGAGGAAUGCAACCACACAGAAGGAAUGUCCUGGAUUCCCGAACAGGACGGAGUUAAUUCACGAACGAUGGAGGCACGCACUGGAGCACAGUGUGUGUAAACUCCAAAAGGGCAAGAAGACGAUGAAGAACAGCUCAAUAACUUCAAUGAUCCAACAGACAGAGUGAUACUACAAUACAGACAUCCACAAACUGAUGAAGACCAAGAACACUGGGUUUAAAUAGGACAGAGGACUAACGUGGACAGGUGAGACAGAAAACUAAUCAGACACGAGGAAAAACUAGGUCAGAACAGGGAAACAUGAGAAAAGACAACACACUAAAAGUCCAUGAUUGUGACCCUUUAUAAGUACUAAAAAUUAACAAAUAUGCUGGUAAUAUGCACGCUGAUAAGCAAAUAGUUAAUAGUGGGAAUUAGCCCUUUGAAUAAAGUGCUACCAAAAAAAUAAUAAUAAAUAAUA
ensembl:lncRNA